UUUUGUCAAAGGCUUUCUCUGCAUCUAUUGAGAUAAUCAUAUGGUUUUUAUCUUUCAAUUUGUUAAUGUGGUGUAUUACAUUGAUUGAUUUGUGGAUAUUGUGUGUGUGUCUUAAUGUUUAUCACACCUAUAUUAUCCCUUAAGCUUUUCUCUGUAACCCUAUUGUGUUAAUGGGUAAAAGGGGAGUGCUAGCUAAUAAAAUAUAUUCCCAGCUGGGCACAGUGCUUCAAGAAACAAGAGACAUUUCCCCGGGGUUUGUUCUUUGACUAAGCUGGGUUAAUCACUCUAGGUACAAAGUCACAGCCAUUUAGGAUCCUUGUUCGCAGGGUCCUUCUGCUAUUUUGUGUUUAUUGAUUAUAAAUUUCUUUACAGAGCCAACGGUUUCCACGGAGAGGACUUUAUUCUCAUGACCACUGAAGUGGGGACAAGGAGGAGGACUAUGUCACCGCUGCUUGAUUUGUUUACUCCCACAAGAGAUUAGGUGGAGUCAGGUUUCUUCCCCUGAGGCUGGCUGGAAAUCAAGUGGAGUUGGCAUCUCUGUGUAGUACAUGCCAGACCCUGGGCUGUUAGCGGAGGGCUGUGAUUGGCUAGAAAGGCAAGCAUAACCUGACCUGAUUGGCUCUGGACUCCCUCCUGUUGUUACUCCACAACAAUCUGAAGACUGGUCCACCAAUCACAGGGCUCCUUACUGGGUACACAACUGUUGGAGAUUGCCAGGAGUCCCUAGCAACACCUUGGCUUUUGAAAUCUGGAAGGUGGGGUGCUGUGCAGUCAGCUCUGCAGUCAGUAGAGGAGCGUGCCAAUGCCUCAGGAAGAGUCUGAUCCCAGGAUGGACACCCCACCCUCUGAAGAACCCUUAGAUAAGCAAACCAAAAAACUGGAAGACCAGGAAGAAGAGAUGGAGUUUAAAGAGCUGGAUGGUCUGAGGGAAGCCUUGGCGAACCUCCGGGGGCUGUCCGAGGAGGACAAGAGUGAGCGGGCGAUGCUGCGUUCCCGCAUCCAGGAGCAGUCCCAGCUCAUCUGCAUCCUGAAGCGGAGGUCCGACGGGGCCCUGGAGCGCUGCCAGACCCUGGAACUGCUCAACAGCGAGCUGGAGGAGAAGAGGCUGCUGGAGGCCGAGGAGCUGAAGGCCAAGAACCAGCAGGCCCAGAAGCUGGAGGAACGCUUUAUGACCCUGGCCGCCAACCACGAGUUGAUGAUCCGCUUCAAGGAUGAACACAAAAGGCAGAACGCCAAGUUGCGAGAGGAGAACGAGAAGCUGAGGCUGGAGAAUGACCAGCUCUUCAGCCCAGCGCUGAAGGCCCAGGAGGCCAAAGUGGUGCUGCUCACAGCCCGGAGCAAGGCCCUAGCCACGGAGCUGGAGACCCUGCAACGGAAGUACGCCCGGGACGUCGGCCAGGCCCAGGCCCGAGAGCAAGAGCUGCUGGAGCUGCAGAACCGGCAGGCCUGCGCCCACACCGAGGAGACGGAGCGGCUGCGCUCGCAGCUGCAGAGCCUCCAGGAGCAGCAGCAGGAGGCCCUGCGGCAGACGGCCAAGGCCGAGCAGGCGCACAGCCAGCAGAACCAGGAGCUGCGGGCCCGGCUGCAGACCGUCACUCGGGAGAAAGAGGAGCUGCUGCAGCUGUCCAUGGAGAGGGGCAAGGUGCUUCAGAACAAGCAAGCGGAGAUCCGCCAGCUGGAGGAGAAGCUGGAGAUGGCCGACGUGGCCAGGAGGCACGCGCUCGAGCGCUUUGAGCAAGAGGCCGUGGCCGUGAACAGCAACUUGCGAGUCCGGGAGCUUCAGCGCAGGGUGGAUGGCAUCCAGGCCGCCUAUGAUGAACUCAGGCUGCAGUCCGAAGCUUUCAAAAAGCACAGCCUAGAUCUUUUAAGCAAGGAGAGAGAACUCAAUGCCAAACUCCGCCAUCUCUUUCCAUAAGGUUUCUGCCUCCUCUGGCCUCCGAUGGAGAAAUCAGAUAUCUGUGCCUUACUCUUAUGGCGAAAGUCAAGAUGGUAUUCCAUUUAUUCUACUUUUAAGUACAAGAGACCACUCCAAGAAAAGCUACUUUACUACAGUGAUGUUGUUUACUACAGUGCCAUUAUACUGGAAAGAAGAUGGAUAAUGAGAAUAGAAGGUCAAAGACGGAUGGAUGCCUAGAGAACAGCUGAGAAAAAGAACCCACAACAUAAACUAAGAGGAAUGUGAACCUAUCAUGUGUCAAGUGCUUUUCAUGUCACUUUCAUUCCAGCUCUCCAAGGGAGGUGCAGUGAUCACUAUUUUACAGAUGAAAAAAGUGAGACUCAGAGAGGGUUACUUGCCUAAAGCCAGGAAGCCUUGGGGUACAGGAGUGAGAUUUGAACCUAAACUCUUCUAGCAGGACCGUCUUAUGCAUGUGCCACCAGCCCAUGAAUCAAGCACUUGAUUCUACUGCUGCUGCCUUGAGAAUCAUAAUUGUGUGGCAAGGGGCUCCACAUUUUCAUGUUGGGCACUGCAAAUAAUGUAGCUGCACCUGCUCACUGCCUAUCAAACCCAUGCUUUUCCCCGGUAUACAAACCACCUUCUAACGAGCCACAAAAAGACACUGAUUUCUUUCCUCUCCUUUGUGCUUCACAGCACUUUUGUAUUCUACUCUCUCAAUGUUUAUCUUGUAUUUAAUCUGUGACUCAGACUGGAUUAGAGGAUGGGCGACUAGUUAGUGUGGAAUGCUGAUCUGUAGUGAUGCUUAUCACUGGAACAAAUUGUCAAAAUGUAAAUCAACCACUUUCAAAUUACUGCCCUUGAGGGGAAAUUGAAAAAACAGAGCAACAGAACUCCUAUCUAAAGCAGACCUAGAUUGCUAGUGAAUUUGUGGCCUCCACAAGCAGUAACCCUAAGAUGAAAAUCCUUAGAGAUUUGAAAACUAACUAAUAAAUGAGCAGUGCUGUGUAGCUGAUAAGUGCGAUCUUUUGUGUUACCCACUUUGUAAGCCUUUCCGUGUGCCUCUGAGGAACUUCUCUGUUUCCCAAAAUUCCAAGUGAAAUAGAAAAGGAAGGAGAACUACAGGAACAAUGAACUGCCUGGCUGAUGUUCUCAUAAUAUUGACUCUCUUUCACUUAGUGAAAAUUAAGUGAAGUUAAUUUGUUUCUAGUAAACAAAGUAUUGAUAAAAAAAUCUCUUUCUCCCCAACUCCACUACAUGAAAAUUAAACCUUAAAUAACAUUGUUUGAAGGAAUACCUGCCCAGGUGCUUGCUGUUCUAUCCAGUCCUCAUUGACUCCGUUACCUGUGGAGUGGCUGUGACUAGGUCAAGGCGGGAAUGAAUCUGUCUGUGUUCCCCACCAUGACAAGAUCAAGAGAUUUGGGUAGACCUUUGAGAUACUAUCUCUUGCCACACAAAUAAAGGAAAGAGCACCACAAUCCCAACUAGUCUCCCCAAAGCUGACCAGAUGAUUUGUCUUCCAUUAUUAUUUGCCAAAAUUGGGCCAUAUGCAAACAUCUCCAUGGGCAAAGUUGUUACCAUGACUGACUUAAGCCAGUCUCUGUGACAUAUAGUAUGUGGGGCUACCUAACAAAAGUAUGACUUUGUCAGCAAGGAUGAAGAGAGAUGGAUGUUGGGUGGGUCACCAACAGUGUCUGCUGUACCACAACUACUUAGAUUGACAGGGCCUUAUCAGGCUGGGAAUUUUUAUUUUAUUUUUUAAUCUCAGCCUCUUAAAAAAGUUUUUGGAAUUUUGGGAGGUGGCCAAGAGAAGAUUUUUCUAAUCAGUUGUCUGUCUCCUUAAGAACAAACUGGAUAUUAUUUUCCAAACACUAAGAGCAUCUUACUAAAGUUUAGGGCCUAGGGCUAUACAGAUGAGUCUCCCUAUUUGAUGUUCUUUCCAAACUUCUGUUUAUCCCACUUGGCAAAACUAAUUCAAGAAAAACUUUUCCCUUGGACAGAACCUCCUGGUCAUUCAUUACACACUCAACUACUACAGUACCCUUUUCCCAGCCCCCUCACUUCCCAGUUCACCAAAGAAACUUCGCUUUUGCCAAAACUCUCCCUCUUUAAUGUUCUGAUCUGCUUUUACUUGCAUUAAUGUAAAAUAAUCUUCCCUUUCAUGUUUAACAUGAUUCAUUACAGAGUUGUUUGUGAUAGCAAAAGAUUGGAACUACCCUACAUACCAUCAAUAAGGAACUAAUUAAAUAUUAAAUAAAUCAUGGGCCCUCCAUACUUGGAAUACAUUGCGGGGUGGGGGGGGAGGCAGAAAGAAAAAGG